rnacentral:rRNA from 1 species
UGCGCGUGCUAUACAUGCAAGUCGAGCGAAUGGAUUAAGAGCUUGCUCUUAUGAAGUUAGCGGCGGACGGGUGAGUAACACGUGGGUAACCUGCCCAUAAGACUGGGAUAACUCCGGGAAACCGGGGCUAAUACCGGAUAACAUUUUGAACCGCAUGGUUCGAAAUUGAAAGGCGGCUUCGGCUGUCACUUAUGGAUGGACCCGCGUCGCAUUAGCUAGUUGGUGAGGUAACGGCUCACCAAGGCAACGAUGCGUAGCCGACCUGAGAGGGUGAUCGGCCACACUGGGACUGAGACACGGCCCAGACUCCUACGGGAGGCAGCAGUAGGGAAUCUUCCGCAAUGGACGAAAGUCUGACGGAGCAACGCCGCGUGAGUGAUGAAGGCUUUCGGGUCGUAAAACUCUGUUGUUAGGGAAGAACAAGUGCUAGUUGAAUAAGCUGGCACCUUGACGGUACCUAACCAGAAAGCCACGGCUAACUACGUGCCAGCAGCCGCGGUAAUACGUAGGUGGCAAGCGUUAUCCGGAAUUAUUGGGCGUAAAGCGCGCGCAGGUGGUUUCUUAAGUCUGAUGUGAAAGCCCACGGCUCAACCGUGGAGGGUCAUUGGAAACUGGGAGACUUGAGUGCAGAAGAGGAAAGUGGAAUUCCAUGUGUAGCGGUGAAAUGCGUAGAGAUAUGGAGGAACACCAGUGGCGAAGGCGACUUUCUGGUCUGUAACUGACACUGAGGCGCG